CCUACGGGUGGCUGCAGUGGGGAAUAUUGGACAAUGGGGGGAACCCUGAUCCAGCCAUGCCGCGGGUGUGAAGAAGGCCCUCGGGUUGUAAAGCACUUUCAGUGAGGAAGAACGCCUGGUGGUUAAUACCCAUCAGGAAAGACAUCACUCACAGAAGAAGCACCGGCUAACUCCGUGCCAGCAGCCGCGGUAAUACGGAGGGUGCGAGCGUUAAUCGGAAUUACUGGGCGUAAAGCGCGCGUAGGUGGCUUGAUAAGCCGGUUGUGAAAGCCCCGGGCUCAACCUGGGAACGGCAUCCGGAACUGUCAAGCUAGAGUGCAGGAGAGGAAGGUAGAAUUCCCGGUGUAGCGGUGAAAUGCGUAGAGAUCGGGAGGAAUACCAGUGGCGAAGGCGGCCUUCUGGACUGACACUGACACUGAGGUGCGAAAGCGUGGGUAGCAAACAGGAUUAGAUACCCCGGUAGUC
rnacentral:rRNA from 1 species